GACGAACGCUGGCGGCGUGCUUAACACAUGCAAGUCGAACGGACUAUUUCAUUUCGGUGAGAUGGUUAGUGGCGAACGGGUGAGUAACGCGUAGACAACCUACCUCUUAGAUGGGGACAACAUCGCGAAAGCGGUGCUAAUACCGAAUGAAGGGACUUUCCUGCAUGGGAGAGAUACUAAAGGUGGACUCUAUUUAUAAGCUACCACUGAGAGAUGGGUCUGCGUCUGAUUAGCUAGUUGGCGGGGUAACGGCCCACCAAGGCGACGAUCAGUAGCCGGUCUGAGAGGUUGAUCGGCCACAUUGGGACUGAGACACGGCCCAAACUCCUACGGGAGGCAGCAGUAGGGAAUCUUCCACAAUGGACGAAAGUCUGAUGGAGCAACGCCGCGUGAGUGAAGAAGGUUUUCGGAUCGUAAAACUCUGUUGUCAGAGAAGAACGUGUGCGAGAGUAACUGUUCGUGCAGUGACGGUAUCUGGCCAGAAAGCCACGGCUAACUACGUGCCAGCCGCCGCAGUAA
rnacentral:rRNA from 1 species